rnacentral:misc_RNA from 1 species
GAUGAAGAACGUAGCGAAAUGCGAUAAGUAAUGUGAAUUGCAGAAUUCAGUGAAUCAUCGAAUCUUUGAACGCACAUUGCGCCCGCCAGCAUUCUGGCGGGCAUGCCUGUUCGAGCGUCAUUUCAACCCUCGAGCCCCCCCGGGGGCCUCGGUGUUGGGGGACGGCACACCAGCCGCCCCCGAAAUGCAGUGGCGACCCCGCCGCAGCCUCCCCUGCGUAGUAGCACACACCUCGCACCGGAGCGCGGAGGCGGUCACGCCGUAAAACGCCCAACUUUCUUAGAGUUGACCUCGGAUCAGGUAGGAAUACCCGCUGAACUUAAGCAUAUCUAGCGGAGGA